rfam:Sarcophilus harrisii ctg7180002518053, whole genome shotgun sequence.
UAUAUGGCUCUUUUUAGAGCCAUAUAUAAUACAAUGCUAAAAAUU